AAAAACCCUCUCAUAUCCACUCUCGUUUUCUCUCCCCCCAUCAUCUCCUCUCUCCCUCGCCCCACCUUAUUAAACCAGAGAAAACCACUCUCGUUCUUUCCCUCACUCUGCCUCUCCCUCUAACUGCCCCAACUCUACUCAAGCAAAGCCACCACCUGAGCUACAUCAAAGCCACUGCCUUCACCAUUUAUAAGUACAUCUCUCUGUCUUUUUUAGGUCGCUCUCUCUCUCUCAAUUCUUUGUUACAUUUGCUUCCAAAUUUUGUUGUUGUUUAUGAUUUGUAUCUCUUGCUACAGUUAGAAGAACACAACAUACACAAAGGAGGAUGGAUAUUUUUACGGGAAAAAAUACAGUUUGCCAAACACAGCUUGAUGAUCCAUAUUAACAAAACUGGAUUUUUUAUUAUAUAUAUAGAGUUGCAAGUUGCAACUUUGUUCAAAUUCAC
rnacentral:lncRNA from 1 species